AACAGUGCUGGCAAAAUAACUUGAAGCAUUUCAAUUCAACACAGCAAUAGCCUGUAAGGAUAGCAGGAAGCAGACUCUGUGCAUGUGGAAUGCAGCAGCAAGGAUUAAUACACAGCACUGGAUGAGCAUUCCUGUGGGAUUAAAAUAGAGGGGAGAAACAAAGAAAAGCAAACAAGGGACAGGUGCAGGUAAUCAGUAAUUAGGGGAUUGGGAGCAGGGAAGGUGCGAGGUGUGUGUGGGAGGGGGCAGUGGGUGUAUCCCACAGGCUUGGUGCCUGGUGUGCUGUGACAGCCCCCAAGGGCCUGUCAACCUCUGAGAAUGGCGCCUGCCUGGGUGAUGGGGAGCUGGCUUAGACAGGUGUACCUGAUGGAAGAUGACGACAAGGUUUGGGUCCAGGAUCUGUGAAGUGGGCACCGAGCUUCCCUCCUCUGGGCUGUGCACCUCCAAAAGACAAUCCCAACUGGGUUCCAGCACCGUAUGCAAGCUCCCAUGAUACAGAAACAAAAAAAAAGGAAAGAGGUUGAAUCCAGUAAAAAGCAACUGGAGACACUGGGAAAGAACUGUAGGAUAAAGGCAGGCAACUAAAGGAGAUGAUGAAAGACCAGCAGGUUUGAGGAGAAGGACAGACUUCUACAGGAAAGAAACAAGCAGCCGCAGGAGAGGACAGACCCAGGCUCAUCAGUCCCAGUCAGGACAACACACAGCAAGGAGUUGGACCCUCCAAACAUGAGUGGGGAGAAUCCAGACUCAGCAGCACCACUCAGGAGGAGAAACAGUAUGAAGGGACUUCCUCCAAAGAUGGGUGGAGAAUCCUCCAGUCAAGACUCUCCAGUGCUGGUUCCUGUAGCAGAACUCAGGCUGGUGCUACUGGGGAGGACUGGGUCUGGGAAGAGUGCAGCAGGAAACACCAUACUGGGCAGAGAGGAGGGGAGCCAGGCAAUAGUACCUUCCACAGACAUUAACAUUGAGGUUAGGUUAGCUAAACAUUGUCCUGGUGAGUGUGUGUGAAUGUCUGUUUGUCUACAUGUCCAGGGUGUUAUAUUCAGUCCCCUUCCUGUGCUCUAUGCAGUCCCCCAAGGGGCUGCGGUUUCAGGUUGAAAGCAUGCUGUGUGCAGUUGGCUGCCACAUCUUACCAGUGUGUUGGCUGGAUGUAAAACCUGUCUGGUUGUAAAGCAUUUUUAGGAUUAUAUAUAGGAGUACAACAAUCUUCUAGACUCUCCUAGACUAAAUAUUUUUCAGUUAUAUCGAAUAUGAAGCACUAUAUACUUGCUGUCCUUGGGGGGACCUGCUCCCUGCUUCAUUUCCUUGCCUGACAUGAUGUGUGUUAAUCUGUUUGACUACCACAUUUUAUUUCACAACUUUGUUCUUUUAUAUGCCACAAUGAUCCACUUGUAUUUGUAUACUUCCCUAUACCACUUCCCGUUUUCCUUACACACACACAAUUGUUCCUUGUAUAUAUGCAUCAAAGUCACUAUUUUUGUCUUAAUAAAUUUAAGAAUAACCCCUAAAUUCCUCUUUUAAAACCAACUCACUCACUCUGCAUUUGCUAACUGCCCCUGUAGGGGCAUGCAAAUUUUGCUAGACCUCAAAAAUUAUGGAAGUUAGAC